CAGAUGUGUCUGCAGGGAGGACUUUUCCUGCUCCUUUGCUGAUUCCUACAAAGAAGACUGGUUCCCAUGGCAGGGGUCCUCUGAGAGGGAAGAGCAAAGGCAAACGACAGAAGAAACCCCACGAGCCAAACAACAUCCUGAAACACAUCGUGACAGAACUGCAGAAAGGGCAUGGGAUGGACAGAGAGGCUCUGUGGAAGGUGGCAUUUCCUGAAGGAAGGGAAGAGAUGCCAGGCACAGUCCCAGAAGGUAA